rnacentral:rRNA from 1 species
AUUGAACGCUGGCGGCAUGCCUAACACAUGCAAGUCGAACGGCAGCACAGUCGUAGCAAUACGAUGGGUGGCGAGUGGCGGACGGGUGAGGAAUGCAUCGGAAUCUGCCCGAUCGUGGGGGAUGACGUUCCGAAAGGAACGCUAAUACCGCGUACGUCCUACGGGAGAAAGCAGGGGACUUUCGGGCCUUGCGCUAUCAGAUGAGCCUAGGUCGGAUCAGCUAGUUGGUGAGGUAAUGGCUCACCAAGGCGACGAUCCGUAACUGGUCUGAGAGGAUGAUCAGUCACACUGGAACUGAGACACGGUCCAGACUCCUACGGGAGGCAGCAGUGGGGAAUAUUGGACAAUGGCCGCAAGGCUGAUCCAGCCAUGCCGCGUGCAGGAUGAAGGUGCUCUGCAUUGUAAACUGCUUUUGUUUGGGAAUAAACCCCUCUACGUGUAGAGGGCUGAAUGUACCAAAAGAAUAAGGGACGGCCAACUUCGUGCCAGCAGCCGCCGUAAUAC